rnacentral:misc_RNA from 1 species
GUAUAUAGUUUAUAAGACAAUGAAGUCUAAUAAUGACAUUCUGUUACAUUCUUAUGGUGUAUAUGAAAAACAUAGGCCUGGAAACUUACAAGGAAAGCUGUGAAGCAAUUCCUCACGACCGAGUUGCCUCGGAACGUUGAAUCCAGGUCUACAAAAGGUGCACAGGUGGAGAUAUAAAGAUGACAAGGUGUGCACAUGCCUUCGAAAAGACCAGCAGCAACCAAGUCAAGUUCAUUCAAUAAUGAUCCUUCCGCAGGUUCACCUACGGAAA